ensembl:lncRNA
UCCUGGACCCAUGAAUCCUGGCUAUCAGAGAAUCAGCACCAUAUAUCUAAUGCUGAUUCAGAGCAUACACAGCCUCCUGGCGCACCUUGCCCCAGUCCUGGAACUGUGAAAUUCUCCUUAUAUGCAUGGUGACCAUUGGUAAUAUGUGAUAAAGAACCACCUAGAAUACGUAUCCUCAGUGAUGGCAUCACCAACUCGAUGGACCUGAGUUUGAGCAAGCUCCGGGAGAUGCUGAUGGACAGGAAAGCCUGGCAUGCUACAGUCCAUGGGGGUCGCAAAGAGUCGGAGACAACUGAGCGACUGCACUGAGGAACUUCCAGUAAGACCCAUUAGCUCUUCAGUAGAGGGCAUCAACUGAUGAAGAAGGAAACAGACAGAGCUGGACUCCAUCUUACGCCAGGCUGCAAACACUAGGCUACACGCAUGGGCAUCCUCCCAAAGGACUCUGAACUUUGUGCAGGGUGUCUAUAGAAAUGGCAUACCCAUAGAAAACCAGACUCCCGGAUAAAAGAGCCUCAGGACUGGUACUUGGACUCUCCAUUGCCUAAAGGAGUAUGCUAAUUAUCUCUGUAACAGAACAAAGUGGUAAAUUCCAUUAUGUUUACCGGGAUAUGACCCCAGGCCUACUGAUAAACAUCCACUGUUUAUCAAGUCUUAUGACACAUGACUCAUGGGUUAACUUUGAUCCUAUCUCUCUUUUACCUUGUCCAGACUAGUUUCAAGGAAUUUGGGGAGGUGGGUUUGAGCAAGUACACUUAGGGUAUAUAAGGUUUUCACAAAAACUGGUCGGGGUCCUUGGCUAAGAGGAGACUCUGCCUUGGGCCCUCUGGUGUAAUAAACUGCACUCCACUAUCUG